UUUCUUGAUGCGAACUUAUGCAAAUACCUAUUUUGUUAAUGGGGACUGAUUCAAGGAUUUGAGUGAACGUUGACUUAUUUUCAACAAUACUUUUUCAGGUGGCAGGAGCCCGGGAAGGAGAUUAUAUUGUCUCCAUUCAGCUUGUGGAUUGUAAGUGGCUGACGGUGAGUGAGGUUAUGAAGCUGCUGAAGAGCUUUGGCGAGGACGAGAUCGAGAUGAAAGUCGUGAGCCUCCUGGACUCCACAUCAUCCAUGCAUAAUAAGAGUGCCACAUACUCCGUGGGAAUGCAGAAAACGUACUCCAUGAUCUGCUUAGCCAUUGAUGAUGACGACAAAACUGAUAAAACCAAGAAAAUCUCCAAGAAGCUUUCCUUCCUGAGUUGGGGCACCAACAAGAACAGACAGAAGUCAGCCAGCACCUUGUGCCUCCCAUCGGUCGGGGCUGCACGGCCUCAGGUCAAGAAGAAGCUGCCCUCCCCUUUCAGCCUUCUCAACCCAGACAGUUCUUUGUACUAAUGUGAGGAAACAAACACGUUCAGGCCCCGAACAUUUCCGGUG
rnacentral:sRNA from 1 species